rnacentral:lncRNA from 1 species
GGCCAUCCUCUGCUACAUAUGCAGCUGGAGCCAGGGGUCUGUCCAUGUGUAGUCUUUGGAUGGUGGUUUAGUCCCUGGGGGUUCUGGUGGUUGGUAUUGUUGCUCUUAUGGGGUUGCAAGCCCUUUCAGCUCCUUCAGUCCUUUCUCUAAUUCCUCCACUGGGGACGCUGUUCUACUUCAGUGGUUGGCUGCGAGCAUUCGCCUCUCUAUUUGUCGUGUUCUGGUAGAGCCUCUUAGGAGACAGCUACAUCUGAUAGAGGGCUUAUAUCCAAAAUAUACAAAUAACUCAAGAAGUUAGACUCCAGAGAGCCAAAUAACCCUAUUAAGAAAAUGGGCUACAGAGCUGAACAAAGAAUUCUCAACUGAGGAAUAUCGAAUGACUGAGAAGCACCUAAAGAAAUGCUCAACAUCCUUAGUCAUCAGGGAAAUGCCAAUCAAAACAACCCUGCCAUUCCACCUUAUUCCAGUCAGAGUGGCUAAGAUAAAAAACUCAAGUGACAGCAGAUACUGGUGAGGAUGUGGAGAAAGAGGAACACUCCAUUGUUGGUGGGAUUGCAAGCUGGUACAACUACUCUGGAAAUCAGUCUGGAGGUUCCUCAGAAAUUUGGAUAUAGUACUACCUGAGGACCCAAUUCUGCCUCUCCUGGGCAUAUACCCAAAAGAUGCUCCAACAUAUAACAAGGACACAUGCUCCACUAUGUUCAUAGCAGCUUUAUUUAUAAUAGCUAGAAGCUGGAAAGAACCCAGAUGUCCCUCAACAGAGGAAUGGAUACAGAAAAUGUACAUCUACACAAUGGAAUAUUACUCAGCGAUCAAAACCAAUGACUUCAUGAAAUUCAUAGGCAAAUGGAUGGAACUAGAAAAUAUCAUCCUGAGUGAGGUAACCCAAUCACAAAAAACCCACACAUGGUAUGCACUCAUUGAUAAAUGGGUAUAACCACAAAGCUCUGAUUACCUGAUACAAUCCACAAACUACAUGAAGCUCAAGAAGAAGGACGACCAAAGUGCAGAUGCCUCAGUCCUUAGAAGGGGGAACAAAAAAUAUUUAUUGGAGGAGAUACGGAAACAAAGUUUGGAGCAGAGACUGAAGGAAAGGCCGUCCAGUGACUGCCCCACCUGGGGAUCCAUCCCAUAUACAUACACCAAACCCAGACAAGCCAGGAAGUGCAUGCUGACAGGAGCCUGGCUUGUGCUUCAUAUUCCACAUUAAGUUCUUAGAACCAUCUUGACGGAGUUGACAGCAGAUUCUGUGAGCCAGGUGACCCCAGCUUCAGAUAAAGCUCUUGUCAGUGGGUGUUUACCAUGCCUUUCUGCUGCAUUACCAGUAUUUUGAGAAGUUGGUUUUUUAGUAUAUCUAAGAGACAGUUUUUUAGAUUGUGUUUCCUAAUUCAUUAGAUCCUGGAGGAAGCAGCAUAGGCUCUAGUUUCUGUUACUCCACUGAUCUGCCCAUAUGAUCUUACACAGACCACUUCAUGGCGUUCUCUGAGGUGUAUCUUUUAAAAUGACACAUUUUCCGUGGGAAUCACAUCAACUGUUUGUGUCUCUGGCAUGGCCACCUUCCAUUCUAAGUCUGCUUUCUGUCCUUUUAAAUUGAAAAUGUCAGUGGCAUAUUUUUAUUGAUGUUCAGGGUCAAGUGGGAGCACCUGGUAUGGGGACAGACCAUGAGGGCAGAGAUAGCAUGGGAAGGUGUGGGUGUUUUCCUGUGGGAGGAGGUGUCACGGAGGUCCUGAAAUGGGGAGGUACCUGAGCAGGUGGGUCACAUGCAGAACUACGAAUGGAGUCAAGUGCCUAGGUUGGCACACGGGUGGUUAUGGAGCUAAGGUUUUUACUUCUGUUACGAAAGAACUAUUUUCAUACUCUAAGUUUUAAAAUUUAGAUUAUUAAACUGUGCGUAAGUUAAGCCACACUCCUAUUUUAUUAGCAUUUAAUUAAAGUAGUACUUUGGUAAAGCAAAUACUGG